GAAUAAUGUAAAUUUUACUUUUACAUCUAGUAUUGAAAAAAAAUUAUUUCAAAUUUGGUUUACUAAAAAUGUUUUACGGUUAAGUAUCGUUUAGAAGGCAUAGUUUAUCGUCAUUGGUCACCGGUCAGUUAGGUACUAUUUCCUUGAAUUUGCAUUUGGUUAAAACGACAUUGUUUGCCAUUGACCCCAAAGUGUUCUCAUUUGUUCAUGGUUCAGUGAAUCGACAUACCAUUACACAUUCAUAUUGUCCAUUAUAUCGUUUUUAUAUAUGAUUUUUUGCGUUGUCAAAUGUUGAUACAGUCAGACAAAAAACUGAAAAACAAAUAAAAAUGUCUCAAAUUU
rnacentral:misc_RNA from 1 species